rnacentral:rRNA from 1 species
GAUGAACGCUAGCGGCAGGCCUAACACAUGCAAGUCGAAGGGUAGCAGGAUUAAGCUUGCUUAAUUGCUGACGACCGGCGCACGGGUGCGUAACGCGUAUGCAACCUACCUUAUACUGGGGUAUAGCCCGGAGAAAUUCGGAUUAAUCCCCCAUAGUCCUAAUGAAUCGCAUGGUUUAUUAGUUAAAGCAUUGCGGUAUAAGAUGGGCAUGCGUCCUAUUAGCUAGAUGGUGAGGUAACGGCUCACCAUGGCUACGAUAGGUAGGGGGCCUGAGAGGGUGGUCCCCCACACUGGUACUGAGACACGGACCAGACUCCUACGGGAGGCAGCAGUGAGGAAUAUUGGUCAAUGGGCGCAAGCCUGAACCAGCCAUGCCGCGUGCAGGAAGAAUGCCCUAUGGGUUGUAAACUGCUUUUAUUUGGGAAUAAACCUCUUUACGUGUAGAGAGCUGAAGGUACCAAAUGAAUAAGCACCGGCUAACUCCGUGCCAGCAGCCGCAGUAA